GUUACCUGAAGGCCCCGUACAGCGGUCUGUACCAACAGACAAAGGAGCAGGGAGUGAAGAGCAGGAACCACAGGAUGCUCAGCCCAAAGUCGACUGCUCUCGAGGAAUCAACACAAAACCAGGCCAAGCAUCCGAAGAUGUUCAGAAACAGGGUCACUGCAUGGACUGUGGGAUCGUAAGACAGACAGAAUGUUUGCAUUAGAGUUACACAGUCCACAGAAUUACAUAGGAAAACACACUUCCUCAGAGCAAGCGUGUUCCCCCAGGCUUCCCCUGCGUGUUCUUUGACACUGCUGCUUCUUACACAGCUUGGAAGGCGCCGCACACAGUGGAGCAGUUUAGACAAACGCCCUGCUGCCCGAGUCUCCUAAGAGGCAGCUACACAGCUAAGCCCAACCCCGAGGCUUGCGUUCCUGAGAAGAAAAAAGGCCGGGAACUUCUUGAGCCAGGGCCCAAGAGGGCACGCAGUGCCUGCUCAAGCACAGAAGCACGCGGGCCCAGGAGCUGGCGUCUCUUGGGGGUCUCAAUGGAUUGUAAUGAACACACAGCAGCAGGGUCCUGUCUGUGCUGCUCUGUGCGGACUAUGUCAUCCUCGUGAGUGAGAGGGGGUUCCAGUUGUUCACUUCAUCCCCACUAGGCUGUAACACGGUGAAGUCUAGGCCGCGGCAGGGCCUCCCUUUGCUUCACAGCUAUGGGCAACACUCACAUGUCGCCAGCAAUGACUCCCUAACAAGCCACACCCCCAGUGUAGCACCCAGCAGUGCUGUGACCCCUCAAGAGCCACACUCACUGUAAGUGCUGUUCACACUUAUUUUCAUUGUAUGCAUCUGGGUGUUUGCCUGCAUGUAUGUACAUGCAGCAUGUGUAUGCAGGGCCUGCAGAGGCCAGAAGAGGACACUGUAUCUCCACAGAUACAAAUGCUCUGAAUUACCAUGUGGGUGCUGAGAGUUCUGGGGCCUCUACAAAAACAGCAAGGGCUCCUAACCCCUGAACCAUCUUCUCUGCCCCAUUCAGUUAUAAGUGAGUCUGCAAAAAUAAGCAUUCAUGGGGUAGAAUUUUAUUAGG
rnacentral:lncRNA from 1 species